AGCAGCCGCGGUAAUUCCAGCUCCAAUAGCGUAUAUUAAAGUUGUUGCAGUUAAAAAGCUCGUAGUUGAAUUUCGGGGUCAGCAGGUCGGUCGUGCCAAUGGUAUGCACUGGCCUUGCUGAUUCCUCCCUCUUGAUGAGCCGUAAUGUCAUUAAUUUGGUGUUGCAGGGAAUCAGGACUGUUACUUUGAAAAAAUUAGAGUGUUUAAAGCAGGCAAGCGCUUGAAUACAUUAGCAUGGAAUAAUGAAAUAGGACGUUUGAUCCUAUUUUGUUGGUUUCUAGGAUUGACGUAAUGAUUAAUAGGGAUAGUUGGGGGCAUUAGUAUUCAAUUGUCAGAGGUGAAAUUCUUGGAUUUAUUGAAGACUAACUACUGCGAAAGCAUUUGCCAAGGAUGUUUUCAUUAAUCAAGAACGAAAGUUAAGGGGAUCGAAGACGAUCAGAUACCGUCGUAGUCUUAACCAUAAACUAUGCCGACUAGGGAUCGGAUGAUGUUAAUUUUUUAAUUGACUU
rnacentral:rRNA from 1 species